rnacentral:rRNA from 1 species
UAGGAAACAGAUGACUAAUACCGGAUACAACAGAUGAUGCCUAUCAACUGUUUAAAAGAUGGUUCUGCUAUCACUCUUGGAUGGACCUGCGGUGCAUUAGCUAGUUGGUAGGGUAACGGCCUACCAAGGCGAUGAUGCAUAGCCGAGUUGAGAGACUGAUCGGCCACAUUGGGACUGAGACACGGCCCAAACUCCUACGGGAGGCAGCAGCA